CAUGGACCCAGGAUGAGCAUGUGGUAACCCUGUAUCCUAGAGUAUAGCUCUCAUUAAUUUCAUGAUUAUGUAAGGACAAAUGCCACUUCUGCAUUAAAGCCUUCCUGCUCUAAAUGUAUUCUUGGAGUGUCAGUUUCACCCCCACUUUGAUCACACUUACUCCCUGUUUCAUGUGUAAAAAAAGAGGAAAUAGGGUUCUUUUAAAGCAUCAACAUGUACAGUCCUUCAGACAGUGUUCCUUCAGACAGUCACUGGGAAUGUAGUUUUAGACAAUUAUAUACUGGUAAAUUUAGUCUAUAAGGACUGAUACCUGCAGCACUGAAAGAUCAGGAUUACUGUAAAGAGAACAAUGGAGAUGAGUGAGGAGAUUUAUGCAAAUGCAGAAGCAGCCAAUAAUAGAGCUAAUUCGAGUGAUAACAAGCCAAUCACAUGAAAACGUUGAGGACAAUUUGCAGACCCAGAGGGCCAGAAGCUUCAAGCAGUCUGAGAGCUCAGGUAAAAUACAUUCACCCUCAGCUAUAUCUGUAUGUACUGAUCUGCUUUACUAAAUUGACUUGUGUGAAAUAUAACCAUCCAUUAAAAAAAAUGUCAAAUUAAACUUAAUGUAUUUGUUUUAUAUUUUAAAACAACAGUAUGUGUUUUGAACUGAAAGCAACCAUCAAACACACACACACACACACAUACACACACACACCUAGCAAAUGACUAACUAGAUUCCAGAGCAUUAACACCAGGAGCAAAUAGCUGUCUUUUUACACAAUUCUAUAAAGGUCAUUAUACAUAGUAAAUAAUACAAUACAAAAAUGGUACAGUUAAAUACGGCAUGAUUAGAUGUACUUUAUGUCUGUAUCUGAUCUUGAUCUGCAACUACAAAAAUUUAAUUUUACUCCAGUGUAGCCAUCAUGUUUCAAGUUUAUCAUGUGCAUAAACAGUGCUUUCAACAUCUAUUUACAGUGAAAUUCUUGUGCUACAGUUGUAAACUCUUACACAGACAAGGUCCAAAAAUUAUAUGGACACAGAACAAUGUGUAUUAAUCUACCAUUUUCUGCAUGUUUCUAAUUGAUGUGUUGAAGAGUUCAAGCUCUGGGGAAAAAAAGAAUAGCGCUAGCAUUAAUAGUGGUAUCUUUACCUAUCUCUGUCUGUCUCUCUGUCUGUCUGUCUCUUUCUCUUACUCUCUCUCUCUUGACUCUCUAGAGCAUGUGAAAUUGAUUGGCAUCUAGUCCCCACUUGUUAAACAUUUGGUAUCUUUUUGGAGAUUGAACUUUAUUAUUUUUAAAGAAGGUUUAGAAGAGCUAAACACUGUGUUUAAGUUCAGUGAUGAUGGUGUUCAUCCUUGUAUCUUCUGAUUCAGACAUGAAUAGAUUUAAAUGCAGUAAAAUAAGCCAUCUUGUCUAUGCCUGUCCUGAGAGACAGAGUGACCCUGGUGUUUUUGAGCAGCUAGUGUAAGUCACAGCUGAGCCUGCUGGGGCUGUUCCCUCUGAGGCUACAGUAUGAUUUGAAUACACUCUUAUGAACUGCAUUUCUUGUAGGUAUAUCAAAGCAUACAUCAUAUGCCUGGUGUAGCUGAAGACAGUGUCUGAUACUCUCAGCAUUAGUGAUAGUGCUUAUGUGUCAAAAUUUUUUACAAGGUUUCAUACAAGCUUGUGAGGAAACAAGUCUUUAUAUCUCUUGUAAAUAUAAUGUAAGGGAUCAAGGGAACAGAGUAUCUUAGAUGCUUAUCUUAGAUGUUCCACAACUUCUAACAACAAGUAAAUGUAACUAUAAAUGGGAAAAAAUUACAGCAUGUUUUGUUUGGAGAAGUAUGGAAGUGGUCUUCAUAGAAGAAUUGCAGCCAAACCUCCAUCAUGGAAGCAAGGUUAAGCAACUCAACUAUGCAUGAAAACAUUGGAGCCGGGGUGCAGGAAAAUUGUAGAAGGUGCUCUGGACUCAUGAGUUCAAAAAUUUGAAAUAUUUGGCUGUAGCAGGAAAACAAACCCAAACAUCCAGCCAAAGCCAUUUAGAAAUAUCUUCAGCAUAGAGAACAACAAGGAGUCCUGGAAGUGAUGGUUUGGCCCUCUACAGAGGCCUGAUCUCAACAUCAUCAAGUCUGUCUGGGAUUAUGUUGAGAGACAGAAGAUUCAAAAUUUAAACAUGAUUACAUUACUUAAUUUCUCUGAAGUUUCAGGAAUCAACCCUGCAGGGAGGAAAAGUUACAGACUGACUGCAGUGUGUUUGCUGCAGCUGAUCAAAUUCGACAACCUUAGUGGAGAAAAAGCCAAUCUGGAGACCAGUCACAACAAUUUGACUAUAGAGAGAGACCAGUUACAGACCAGUUACAACAACCUGACUAAAGAGAGAGACCAGCUACAGUCCAGUUACAACACCCUGACUAAAGAGAGAGACCAGUUACAGACCAGUAACUAGAAUCUGACUAAAGAGAGAGACCAGCUACAGUCCAGUUACAACAACUUGACUAUAGAGAGAGACCAGUUACAGACCAGUUACAACACCCUGACUAAAGAGAGAGACCAGUUACAGACUAGUUACAACAAUUUCACUUUAGAGAGAUGUCGGAACUCAGAGCCCCCUCCGAGUGGACAUAUCACAGGGUGGAAUUUUUGUUUGUAUCUAUUUCUCUUAGCUUUCCCAAUGACCUCCACAAUCUAUAAAACAGCCGAAAUAAAAGAGAUCUCAGUCAACAGAUGAGAAGAAGCAGGUUUCUUUAUUCAGCCAUGCAGUCAACAACAUGCAUAUCUGAAGAGAGCAGCUGGUCUCUCAAACCCCGAAAAAGUCCCCUCUACUUAUACCCCAGGCGCCCCGGGGUGCCUCCUUUUCUCUAAUUUAAAUAUUUCCAGCAAUUUCCCAUUAUAUUCAGUGUAUGGCUACUUUAGUCCCUCCUUCCUUAGUUUACAUACGUUUUCCCAGUUCCCAUUACUUUCGCAUUUGUCCCGAUACCGCCCCUAAAUUGAUACCAUCCUCCCCUUGAUGACGUCAAUUUUCCUCCUCCCCAGUUCCCCUUAUUUUUAGGCUAAGUCAACAAUUUUUAGAAAAAAUUGGCGCUUCCUUAUAGGUGCCACUUCCUUAUUGACUUCAUUUGACCGUCACCUCUUAAAGGUGCUUCCUCGGCUCAUCCUGACCUCGCGCGUUGCCCUCCACAACAAUGUGUAAGUACCUUGCUCUUUUCCUCUAUGUCAUGAUGACUUUUUCCUCUACCUACUUGAUCUAAGUUUUAUUUACUAUUUUUAAAAUAAGCUGUGCCAUUAAGCUGCCUCAUAUCCUUUUCUCUUUUCAUCACUGUUGGUUGCUAGUAUUCUAAUGCUAUUGUCUCCUCUACCUGCCUAUCACUGUCAUGUCACAGUGACCUGGCCUACUUCCCACACUGUGUUCCUUUUGCCUUAGUACACGCUCUCUUUUGCUGACUACAUAGUCACGCAAUAUGCACUUCACUCAUCUUCACUCAUCUCUCCCCAUUUCCCAUUUUUCCUUCCAGCUCAGUCAGCCCACCGCGCUAUCUUCCGGAGAAGUCCCAGGGGUGCUCUGCGACGCUAUCGCCAGUAUCAGCUAUCCUGUCUGGCCAUUGAACUUACUGGUUUCCUGGAGCACCUAUCUGAAUCCUCUAUUCCUGAGUCUCCUUACCUCACUCACCAUAUCGUGAGAGAUACCGUCUGUCUUGAUCAGAGCACCCAAUUUCACCCCACAACCUGUGAUCAGUCUACGCAGACCUUCUACUGGCAUUGGACACGGACCACCUCUCAAGGCGUCCAGACUGAGGAUUUCCCUGUUGAGAUCUCCUCUAAUGAUUCUUCCUCUGACACUGCUUCAUCUCCUAAUUCCCCUGACAUUCCCCAACUUUCUCCUGAAUUUGUGCCUAUGCCUUACAGUGUUCAUGAUAUUCCUCAGUCUUCUCCUGACUAUUCGCCCCCAACUUCUCCCACUGAUUACUCUCCAACUUCUCCUCAGGAUCCCGAGAUUCCGUCUUCUACAACUGACCCCCCGGUCCCACUGAUCCCAUUGGAUAGGCUGGCUGACUGAGUUGUAACUCCUAACGUUCCAAUAAAUCUCUCCUCUUUUCUCUUUCUUCAGUCCCAGUGUGGUUAUUACGCUAGCAUGCUGCCAUUAAUAAUUCUGCAUGAUUAUUAUAAAGACUAUGAGGCUAUAUCUGAUUAUAAUAGCUAUUAUUAAUCAAAGUUAACUACUUAAUCAAUGGCUAAAUAAUUCUCGAUAGAUACACACUACUCUUAGGCAGAAUAUUGCUAAGUCAGAGCUUAGAGCAUUGAGUACAUUAUUACUUAAGCUACUUUUAAAGCUAGGUAUAUAAUUCAAAGCUGGGUAUAUUAUUUUUUCUCCGACAGAGAGACCAGUUACAGACCAGUAACUAGAAUCUGACUAAAGAGAAAGACCAGCUACAGUCCAGUUACAACACCCUGACUAAAGUAAGAGACCAGCUACAGACUAGUUACAACAACUUGACUAUAGAGAGAGACCAGUUACAGACCAGUUACAACACCCUGACUAAAGAGAGAGACCAGUUACAGACUAGUUACAACAAUUUCACUUUAGAGAGAGACCAGUUACAGACCAGUAACUAGAAUCUGACUAAAGAGAGAGACCAGCUACAGUCCAGUUACAACAACCUGACUAAAGUAAGAGACCAGCUACAGACUAGUUACAACAACUUGACUAUAGAGAGAGACCAGUUACAGACUAUUUACAACAACCUGACUAAAGAGAGGGACCAGUUACAGUCCAGUUACAACACCCUGACUAAAGAGAGAGACCAGUUACAGACCAGAUACAACACCGUAACUAAAGAGAGAGAAGUUACAGAGGGAUAAAGAAGAACUCCAGAGGUUUUCUAAACUGGGGUCUGUAUCUAGGAUGGAUAUAUUUCAGCCCAAGUAUUUACUACAUCUCUAAUGAAGGUAAGACCUGGACUGAGAGCAGACAGGACUGCAUAGGGAGAGAAGCAGAUCUGGUGAUCAUAAACACCAAAGAGGAACAGGAGUUUCUCACAACACAUCUGGGCAACAGAGAGGCUUGGAUUGGUCUGAGUGACAGAGACAGAGAGGGUGUGUGGAAAUGGGUGGAUGGUACUCCAUUGAUCACCGACUCUUGGGAAAGUGGGGAACCGAAUAAUGUUGGUGAUGAGGACUGUGCAGUGAUUUUGGGUAAUCUGUGAAAAAAGGGCUGGAAUGUCCUUCAAUGUUUGACAAAGUUAUUAUGGAUCUGUGAGAAGUUAUUAUGAUUAAACAGUGGAACAGAACAGUAAAAUGAUAUUCACAAAUCAAGCUAAAAUUUUGGAGUGGUUCAGUUUGGGGUUUUUUCUUAGCAAUGCUUACAAACGAAUGCUUAAAGAUGCUUUUAUUGCUUGUAAUGCCUAAAGAUUAAAAAGUACAAAGAUUUUAAAAAUAGAUUUUUAUUCUUUUGUGCUUGCAUUUAAUUACUGGAUCAUGUAAUAGACAUAUUUUUUGGAGUAGUUUAAUUCAGGUUUUGUGUGUAUGUGUAUGUAAU